GCGCUGCAUAACGAAGCUUGAUUUUUUUUUUUCGAAAUGGAUAUUAGUUCUUUAAGUUUGGGGGAAAUAUACUCCUGAAAAAAGAAAGUGGCUAGAGACUGGUGACCAAAAUUAUUAUGAAUUUGGACAACUUAAGCAACAGCGGGGACUAUAUAUGUUUGGGCAGGACAUUCAAGAAGGAAUAUUUACCUGGACGUUGUGCCGUAAACCUCACCAGGAUGGAUGUGUUUGUCGAGAUACCAAUUGGCUGUGCAUGUUCUAACUAUAUUAAGUUUCUUGUUGAUAUACAAAUAUAAAGCCCGGAGAUCAUUGUAAUUUUCUAGUUAAAUAAAGUUUGAUAUUUUUGAGUG
rnacentral:lncRNA from 1 species